UCAGAAAGUUAGAGACAUAGCUGACGUGUCGCCAAUCACAGCGCCAUUAGCAAAGGUUUGGCUCUACGAUCAUGCCAUGUGGCAAAGGCUGUUAAUUAUUUGGAAGACUAAUCAUUUCCAGCAAGAAAAAUAAAAGAUACUGGUAACGACGUCGUUUUUUGGUAAACUGAACAACUCUAGCUGGGCUGGGCCUGUGGGCGACGUCUUCUGUUAAAAAUCCAUAACAAGUAACCACCUCCUUCACUUGGCGAAUCCACUGUGAUUGGUGUAACCUACAGUACAAUAGCCCAAUUGAUUUCCGAUUAUGCUCUUGUUCCUAUUGCGGGAACACAGCCUAACGAUCAGAGUGUCUGCAACUUCGCGCGCUCUGUAGGGUCUUGCAACAAAGACUUAGGCUUGAGUUGCACUUGUUCUUCCACUUCCUCUUCCUCCAGCAAGAGUGAAUGGAAUUGUAUUUAGUUCUCUUUUAUCUCCGGCUGAUGUAUGAACUGGAGCAAUCAAGAUGAUUGCAUGAUUUCAUGCCUGAGAAGGUGAAGAUGGGACUUUUUGACAAUAAAUUGGAGCUAGACUAAGAUGAUUUAUGUACUAUGUGAAUCUAUUUAUUCAGUUAUACAUUGGUGCACAGAAGCGACUAAGCUCAUCUAAUAGUUUUUUUCCCCUGAUAAUGAGCUCAUGUAGUAGGUUGUGAAAAAAGGUGUAGACCAAAAAUUAUGUGAAUUGAAGCGGAAAAUAAUUUUUUGCUAUAGCAACACUUAGUAAAAGAUAUAUUUACCCUAAAAAAGCUUAAUAGAGGAAAAAGGAUUUGUAUAUAACUUCACAUUAACUAGUUUCAGUCUGAGGUUAAGUUGUGUGGAGUUGUGCAAUGAUGAUGGUGAUUCAACUCCAUCAAAACCAGAUUAUUUAGCCAAAUAUAUCUUCCAUUGACCUAAAGAAUGAAGAAAAGAAAAUUGAUCUGACCUUUCCUAACUUAUAUCUGAUGCUUCUGUUUGUAUAUUCUGAAUUUAUUUUGUAUUACUAAGUGCAAGUUGCUUUUGAGGAGUACUUGACUGUUACACCACAAAGGAUGAGACUCAGGCUUCAACAGCAAGGAAGGUCAUUUCAGUUAUUUAGCUUGUGCUUUGUGCCUUGGAUUGGAUCUCAGAUGAGCAAAUUUAUUACACUAAAUGCUUUAUUUCUUAUCAUCAGAGUGUGGACCAAACAAUACUCUUACGGUAACUUCAGAAAAGAAAAAUAAAAAAAAGGCACGGACUCUGGCCACGUAUUCCAUUGACCACUGUACUACAACAUCUCCUUCAUGGGGCACUCCUUCCCAGUUGACCUCAAUUCUUGGGUUCAGAGGGAUGUCAUAAAGGCAGAGUCAUUCUUGUGUCUUGCAUUCAUCAUGUAAUUUUUUCCAUAGUUAUCACCUUGUUGGUCAAUUUUGCAUAGAUAAAGAUUUGUUAGGAUACUUUUUUUUUUUUUGUCAGCAAACAACCUUUUGAGUGCUUUUGAUACUAGCAGAAUAUGUUAUUUGUACCAAAAAAGCAACACCAGCGCAACAAUUUCUUCAAGCAAGGAAAGUAGGAGAUGAUACGCUACCAGGUAGAUCUUCGAAAUUUUGUUUGCACUGGAAAGUUCUGAAUUUACUUUCAAGAUCAUCAAAUUGUUGAUUUUCAUCUGGAUAUUUUGCUCCUGGUUAGAUGGUAGUGUGAGUUUGCUGGUGGGAUUAAUGUUUUGAGUGCUUAUUUGAUUUGUCAACUCUACUGCUUGUACUCUGUUGGAGUUCAAUUCCUUUUCAUGUGAAUAUUCUAUACCAUAUGUCUCUUUAGUGUUUAA